GAGGGUACAGCUCAGUGGUAGAGUGCUUGCCUAGCAAGCCCAAGGUUCUGGGUUCAAUCCCCAGUGCCUCUA
rnacentral:tRNA from 1 species